CCUACGGGUGGCAGCAGUGGGGAAUAUUGGACAAUGGGCGAAAGCCUGAUCCAGCCAUGCCGCGUGUGUGAAGAAGGCCUUCGGGUUGUAAAGCACUUUCAGUGGGGAAGAAAGCCUUGGGGCUAAUACCCUCGAGGAAGGACAUCACCCACAGAAGAAGCACCGGCUAACUCCGUGCCAGCAGCCGCGGUAAUACGGAGGGUGCGGGCGUUAAUCGGAAUUACUGGGCGUAAAGCGCGCGUAGGCGGUCUGAUAAGCCGGUUGUGAAAGCCCCGGGCUCAACCUGGGAACGGCAUCCGGAACUGUCAGGCUAGAGUGCAGGAGAGGAAGGUAGAAUUCCCGGUGUAGCGGUGAAAUGCGUAGAGAUCGGGAGGAAUACCAGUGGCGAAGGCGGCCUUCUGGACUGACACUGACGCUGAGGUGCGAAAGCGUGGGUAGCCAACAGGAUUAGAUACCCGAGUAGUC
rnacentral:rRNA from 1 species